CGUACCUUUUGUAUAAUGGGUCAGCGACUUAGUGUUGCGUGCAAGCUUAAGCCGAUAGGUGUAGGCACAGCGAAAGCGAGUCUUAAUAGGGCGAAUGAGUACGUAGCAUUAGACCCGAAGGCAAGUGAUCUAGAUAUGGGCAGGCUGAAGGUGCAGUAACAUGCACUGGAGGGCCGAACCGUUGAGCGUUGAAAAGCUCUCGGAUGACCUGUGUCUAGGGGUGAAAGGCCAAUCAAACUCGGUGAUAGCUGGUUCUCCCCGAAAGCUAUUUAGGUAGCGCCUCGGACGAAUACCAUUGGGGGUAGAGCACUGUUUCGGCUAGGGGGUCAUCCCGACUUACCAAACCGAUGCAAACUCCGAAUACCUACAAGUGCCGAGCAUGGGAGACACACGGCGGGUGCUAACGUCCGUCGUGAAAAGGGAAACAACCCAGACCGCCAAUUAAGGCCCCUAAGUAAUAGCUAAGUGCGAAACGAUGUGGAGGUGCUGAGACAAUCAGGAGGUUGGCUUAGAAGCAGCCACCCUUUAAAGAAAGCGUAAUAGCUCACUAGUCGAGUCGGCCUGCGCGGAAGAUGUAACGGGGCUAAGCAGAUAACCGAAGCUGCGGAUGUACACGUAAGUGUAUGUGGUAGGGGAGCGUUCUGUAAGCCUGCGAAGGUGUGUUGUAAAGCAUGCUGGAGGUAUCAGAAGUGCGAAUGCUGACAUGAGUAGCGAUAAACAGAGUGAAAGGCUCUGUCGCCGUAAGCCCAAGGUUUCCUACGCAACGUUCAUCGGCGUAGGGUUAGUCGGCCCCUAAGGCGAGGCAGAAAUGCGUAGUCGAUGGGAAGCAGGUUAAUAUUCCUGCACCGACGUGUAAUGCGAUGGGGGGACGGAUCGUGGAAAGUGGUCCAGGUGUUGGAUAUCCUGGUCCCUGCAUCAUAGAGGACAGUUAGGCAAAUCCGGCUGUCAUAUACUCAAGGGUGUGGGGGGAAGUAGCUACGGCUACGAACCCAUUGGAAGUGGUCCCAAGAAAAGCCUCUAAGCUUCAGUUACACGUUGACCGUACCGCAAACCGACACAGGUGGGCGGGAUGAGUAUUCUAAGGCGCUUGAGAGAACUCAGGAGAAGGAACUCGGCAAAUUGGUACCGUAACUUCGGGAGAAGGUACGCCCUUGUAGCUUGACCAUGAACAAUGGAAGGGUGAAGGGGUUGCAAUAAAAUGGUGGCUGCGACUGUUUAAUAAAAACACAGCUCUCUGCAAACACGAAAGUGGACGUAUAGGGAGUGACGCCUGCCCGGUGCUGGAAGAUUAAAUGAUGGGGUGCAAGCUCUUGACUGAAGUCCCAGUAAACGGCGGCCGUAACAAUAACGGUCCUAA
rnacentral:rRNA from 1 species